GUUGACAAUCAGGAGGUGUUUACGUAUCGAACGUGUUUAAUUUAUGAUACAACGUUGGAGUUUAUUAUUGCGGUUUUUAUUUGUGCGGCUCAAUAAAAACAAGAUAUAAAGCUGAUAAUCUUCCGCUAGAGGAACAAGAUCCGGCUAUUCUAAUUGCGGUUUGUCGGCUAUCAUACUAUCGGACAUGCAAUGCGUGUGUGUUCGCCCUAUUCGCUAUACGACUAGUCGGUAUUUGGCAUUGACAAAAUCCCUGCUAUGCAACCGCCGUCCGGUAGCAGUAGAUGACCUUAUUGUGUAAAAAUUUGUAGCCAGGUUCCGUCGCAAUUACGAGUUCAGCCACCGGAACCAACAUGUUACUGUGAAAAACUACAUAAGUGCAGGUGAACAACGCCACCAAGAUAAAGGAAACGAGGAAGAGCCAGAAUGGCUGUCGGCAGGACCUACCUUUCGCCUGGACACACUCGAACUUUGUGGAUUCGAUGAAGAUGCCUCAAUCAACGCCUCGCCAAUCGAUCCGUCGACAUGCUAGCACAAAAUCAAACCGAUAUUUUGCGCCGAAUGCUCAUGAAAAACAAUGUUGAGAAUAUAACAAAACAAAUGCAACAACAGCACAAAUCAACCCAACAGCCGCGUUAUCCACCCCAACGUGAGCUUCAGUUCCAUACCCAAUCCAUAAUGCAGAACGCUUUACUCCGUAAAAAACUGCAGAAUCAACGCAAGGCGCUUUGUGAUCAGAACAGUCGAAUGGCUGCCGCUACCGCUGUAAUUAACAACGGUGAACCAAAUACAGUUGUGCAGUAAUUCGUACAAUCGAUUUGUCUAAACAUGCAACGAAGUUUUUUGGUUCUUAGUCAAACUGCUAACCGGCCGGUGACAAAUAUCCUAAUGGUACAUAUUUCUCUGCAAAGCCGACUGCAGGAGCAACUACUCUCCGUCACGCAAAAAUUGUGUCAACAGGAACGUGGUCCCAUGAGCGCUAGAACUUCUUAGGAAACAUCGAAUUCUACAGAUCAAUUCUUACAUGUUACGAGAGAACUGGAUUCUUACAAUGCAUUUACCAGUGCAGAAAUGGUUAUAUUUUGCAACAUUCAAAUUUAAUGAUGUUUUGUAUUAUAUAUUACCGUUCCUCAUGAUUGUAUUUUUAUAUGUUUGUAGUUUUUCUUAAUAACGUGCUUCGUUCCAUCAUUGUUAUAUUUAUUAUGCAAGCGGAAUUUCGAUACAAAUUCUCACUAUCUAAUUUAUAUUCUGCAAAAUUGCACCGAUUGAUUUGUCGUUAGG